CCUACGGGUGGCUGCAGUGGGGAAUCUUGCACAAUGGGCGCAAGCCUGAUGCAGCCAUGCCGCGUGUAUGAAGAAGGCCUUCGGGUUGUAAAGUACUUUCAGUCGUGAGGAAGGUGUUAAGGUUAAUAACCUUAGCAAUUGACGUUAGCGACAGAAGAAGCACCGGCUAACUCCGUGCCAGCAGCCGCGGUAAUACGGAGGGUGCGAGCGUUAAUCGGAAUUACUGGGCGUAAAGGGCGCGUAGGCGGACAUUAAAGGAGGGGGGGAAAUCCGGAGCCUCAACCGGGGAACUGCCUUGGAUAAGGGGUGUCUGGGGUAGGAGGGAGGGGGGGGAAACUCGGGGUGUGGGGGAAAAAUUCGUAGAUAUGCGGAAGAACCCCAGGGGCGAAGGCGACACCCUGGCUAAUUACGGAGGCGGGGGCGAGAAGGGGUGGGGAGAAAACAGGAUUAGAUACCCAAGUAGCC
rnacentral:rRNA from 1 species